AAUGAACUGGGGCCAAACUGUAGAGAGCUUAGAUGAAUACCUUAGUGCAAAGAUGAAUACUUUAGUCAAUCUGUCCUUACUCCUUAACUUUGCUCUUCAUUGGCCCCCAUGCUUCGUGCUCUGUUACCAGACAUUUCUCAAUUGGCCAACUGCUCUCCACUUUCUCCAUCCCUACCUCACAUGUGGAAGAAUGGAACUAACCCCAACCAUCUUCGACAGCCACCCUUGAUUUCCCUCAGCCAAUCAGCAGGGCUUAUCUACCUAUUCACAGGAACUGGUUGAGAGACAGACCUAGCAGAUUGCUGGAACCAGCUCCCAGGGGCUUCAGAGUCCACUGCGGCCCCCUCUACCCCACAGUGGGUCCAGGGACAUCACGUUGGUAGUCUGAAAUCAGCCACGACAGGGAGAGGGAAUUGCUAGAUAUUCAUCUGUACACUACUUGGACGAACAAGACCUAAUUUAGGUCCAUGAGACGUGAGGAGAUAUUUAAUCAGGGUUUGGAGAAAUCAUUGAAGAAGAUUCUGUUCUUUUGUGUAGGGAGAGUUAUAAAGAAAUUGGAU